GGCUGCUCCAGGUCAGCCUGAAACUGCUCUAAAAUGCUGCCAGGAUAUUGCUGGGCCUUAGAAUUAGAGCCACCAUCCAAAUCCACUUCAGUUUGACACAUCAUAGCACCACUGCCAAUCAAACUAAUUGGAAGGAUUCAGCUAUGCUUGACAAGAAAUAGACAGAAGGUUUAAAGUCCAGCUCCUACAAGGAAGAAAAGCAUCACGAGGGCUCGCUGCAAUAUCCUGUAAUGUGGAGUUGAAAGGUGCAAGUUUAAGUGUAACUUAAAACUCACUACCAAGAUGCAGGCCACUGGAUGAAACACAUUCACAACCCUGAGUCACACCUGCAGGAGCCUCUCUGGAUGAUCUCAUGCCCUUAAAGAUAAGGUAAGCAAACCAGUAAUGGAAGGUAAUAAAAGGACAAGUAAAAUCCUUGAGAAGAUAGGCUGAUUAACUUAAAUUCAGCAGUGAUUCAACACCAGUCCAAGCAAACAAGUGCUCAUCCAGCUGACAGGAAAAAAAUGUUGUGGCUAUGCUAGUCUGGAAAAAAACAACAGGAAUACUUGCUCCAUAACACCCAUCAUUUAGCAGUUAAAUCACUGCAACACAGUGCUAAAGAUUGUGUGGUACAACAGAGAAAUGAGUGCCCCAACCACACUCCAAUCACCUGAGAAACCUCCCCACAGAGCUUUAGUCUAGCAGUGCAAAUACUCCCAUCUGCUGCUGUGCCACACAGCAGCCCUCAAACAGCAUCUUGUGUUUAAAUAAUGCAGACCAAUACUGGCAAAUGGGCUGUUCUCUGACUGCAAGGGCAGAGCAGAACCUUUUAAACACCCUCUCUAAAAUGAAAAUUGCAGCAAAUGCUCGCUUCAAACAUGGCCUUGUGGCGAACACUUCAUCACAAUAAAGAUCUUCCCGGCUUCCUCUGCCAGCUGACUCAGCACACAGCCGGCCAAGAUACAGAGGUUGCAUAAAGCCCCGAGUGGCUCUGCUAACCACUUCUGUUUAUGAAGAUCACAAGUGCAGGUAUACCUGGAUCUGGAAUUACCUUUUCCUGACCAUAUCACCUUGAUGGCUCAGUCUCCCUGUGAUCAGAGCUAACUGUUCUAGCUUUAAGUUGGCAAAUGUCUACUUUACCAAACUCCAGUAAAUCCCCAGGCAGAAAAGCUUUACAUCCUGAGCCCCACGUCAUUUGGAGGAUCGCAGUCGUCAUCAGCACACAGGCCCCUCCAGGACUGUGCUCCAACCUUCCUUCUCCUGUACCAUCGUCAGCAAAAUCCUUCACUACAUCACCAGAGGAAGAAGGUCCAGGGGAAAUAUUUAAGCGAGUUCAGCCACAAGACACAGCCUUGAAAGCUUCCAUCAGUAACCUGCUUUUGGACCAGCACCUCCCUUACAGAAGAAGCACCUUAGAAAGCUUUGCAGAGAUUUGCACUGGCACAUCCUGAAAGUGAUGAAAGUGAUCUCCCUGCCCUGAGAGACUACUACCAGGCAGUUAAUUCCUAUUGGUUUAGUGAUGCUUGCAAGUAUUGAACUGGCCCAUGUUCUUCAAAUUGAUGCAUUUGACUAUCUAUAGCAUUCACCACCCCAAACGUUUAAGACAAGGAUUUGGUAGAGAGAAAGAGAAGAAUAAGAGUAUGAGGAGUCCACGCUACUGUAUGAAUUUCCUUCUGUAAUUCCAGAUUUAUUUCUGUAGAAGACCAAAAUAAGAACUCAAUUUCCUAACUUCCCUGAAAAGCCAUUGAUAACUACAUCAAGAAUGGAUGAUUGAUUUUUCACCAACACUCCAGCUCACUCACCCCAUUUUAAUUUCUGUUAAACCUCCAACUUACUUGAUAUUUUCAGAAAAUACUUUAAUUAUCCCAUGAAAUACGUUACUUCCAACCUAAUCAGGUUGAAAAUAGAAAGUCCACUGUCACUAGCUUGUAUCAUCAUUGGUAAAAGUUAUUAUACAAGUCAUAUAUUACCCAAUUUAAAACAAGUGCAUAAGUGCUAGGGAAUUAAAUGCCUAAAACCGCUUGUCUCUGUGCUGAGCUCUGCUAUUAAAACACGUAUUAAUUAA